rnacentral:rRNA from 1 species
UGGACUUGGAUGUUGCCGUUUUAUCACGGCUCRUCUUAAAUGCCUGAGUGUACCCUGUUUUGCAGCGUAUCCAGUGUAAUAAACAUUUCACUAGAGUUGGUYGAAAGACCRCGUUGACUAUAUGGGCUCUAUGCUUCAAACCGUCUGCUCUGUGGACAAUUUCUUGACAAUUUGACCUCAAAUCGGGUGGGACUACCCGCUGAACUUAAGCAUAUCAAUAAGCGGAGGAAAAGAAACUAACAAGGAUUCCCCUAGUAACGGCGAGUGAAGAGGGAAAAGCUCAAAUUUUGAAUCUGGUGUCUUUGACUCCCGAGUUGUAAUCUAGAGAAGUGUUUUCCGUGUCGGACCGUGUACAAGUUCCCUGGAACGGGGCGUCAUAGAGGGUGAGAAUCCCGUAUAUGCCACGGACUACCGAUGCUCUGUGAUACACUCUCAACGAGUCGAGUUGUUUGGGAAUGCAGCUCAAAAUGGGUGGUAAAUUCCAUCUAAAGCUAAAUAUUGGCGAGAGACCGAUAGCGAACAAGUACCGUGAGGGAAAGAUGAAAAGCACUUUGGAAAGAGAGUGAAACAGUACGUGAAAUUGUUGAAAGGGAAGCGUUUGAAGUCAGUCGCAUCUGUUGGGGUUCAGCCUGGCUUUUGCCUGGUGUAUUUCCUUUCCGAUGGGUCAGCAUCAGUUUYGACCGAGGGAAAAAGACAUUUGGAAUGUGGCUGUCUUCGGGCAGUGUUAUAGCCUUGUGUUGUAUGUCUCGGUUGGGACUGAGGAUUGCAGCGCGCCAUAAAUGGCCGGGGGUCGCUCCUCUCGACACGCGCUUAGGAUGCUGGCAUAAUGGCUUUAAGCGACC